UUUUUUUUUUUUUUUUUUAUAAUUCCCAUACUAACUAAGUAUUAGUAAUUAAUACUUAGGGUGUGUUUGGAUUGUAAUUUUUUUUUUUUUUUGAAAAUUGCUAUAUUUUUUAAUCAUCUUUUUGUGUUACAUAUAUCAAAAUGUUACAGUAAUUUUUCUACAAAAAAUUCAGAAAAAAUGCAAUUCAAACAAAGCCUUAGUAUUUUUCUACAAAAAGACUUUGAAAUCAACUCAAAAAAUUUCCUUAUGAUAUGGCACAGCAGGAGGACAGUUGACAUAUAGGGUUUUGUUUUGAUUGGCUCUUUUAAGUUUUCUAAUGGAGUGUAUUUCCAAACUCUUCAUUUCCUCAUAUUUUUGUGAAUAAAUAACCAAAAAGAGAAAAAAAAAUCAAUUCUUUUUUCCCUCCCAAAUUGUGCGGUUACUGUUUUUAUGGUACAAGUAGAACAUUUUGAUAAAAGUAAAACCAAACAGACUGACGAAUUGGUCCUGAAUAUCGUGGUAGUGAGUAGUUCUACUAAAUUCUUGACUUUUAACUGACUUUUGUUAUUACUGGGAUACGUCUUAAGGACUAUAAAUUACUGCACAUAACAUAACAUGCACAACUUUUAAACGUAGCAUAAAUAUUCGAAGAAAGAAAUAAAAAUGGGGAAGUUUCUUGUAGCGUAGGAGUUUCUUGCCAAGGAAAGUUAAAACACUACUAUAACUUGAGGGGGUCCAAUGCAAUUUACAGAACCCCAGUGGAAUUUCCAUAAUUAUGAGAAGUGUUCUUCUCUUCUUGGAAAGAAAAAAAAAAAAAUUUCAUACCACUAUUAGGCCUAGCUUGUAAAUUGGAAUACUACAAUACAGUAUGGGACCAUAUGUGUACUAGCCGUAAUUGGUCGAGGACUCCGUAUCAAAGGGGAAGGAAGCCACAGGCAGAUAGAGAGAGAGAGAGAGGAAAAGGGGCAGCUACCUGCAGCUUACAUGACUGAGUGAGGGUUGGUAGCUAAGACAAAAAAAAGAAACAGUAAGAAAAUCCUUUUACCCCAAAUUCCCAUCUGUCUCGAGUUUAAGCAAAUCCCAUCAUCAUCAUCAUCAUCAUCAUCGUCGUCGUCGUCAUUCUUGUAAUUCGUGCUUCCUAGUCACUGCUGAAUGCUUUGCCCUUUUACUCCUUUCUUCUUCUAACUUUUUGGGUCUUUUGAUUAGGUAACCAUCAUGCUACUUAAAUCAUCCAUGAGCUUCUCGAUUAGUUAAUCAUCCUAAUUUGUUCAUUUUUCCUUCUCAUCUAAAAUAUUUUAAUUACUCCCUACAUAUUUUUUCCUUGGACUUUGCUCCGUUUGCUUUGUCUAGCAAGUGAACAUAUUUUGGAAAAUUUUCGUUUAAGUUGUUUGUUAUCACUUGUUGGUGAUAAUCAAGUGGGUCUUGGCGAUUUUUGUUUUUGUUUUUUUUUUCGGGUUGAUUUUAGGAUGUGGGUUUGUGAUCCUUUUGGUUGCAUAUCAGAAGUAUUACUACUGCUCUUAUUAUAUAGGAUUAAUAUUAGAUGUUAUUGUAGUUUGUCCUAAAAAAAGGUAAGAAGAUGUUAUCCUAGUUGGUGAUACUCAUGAUCUAAGGGCCAAUUCCCCACCCCCCCCCCCCCCCCCCCCGGGGGUUUUGGGGCGGCUGACUUUAGUACACGGUUCUCAAAUACUUACAUAGGAGUAAGGUUUACCCGUAGUUGUAGAUGCUUUGCUUAGAUGGCUUGUGGAGGAGAUCUACAACUUUGUUCUUACAAUUUUGAUUUUGUGGGUGUUGGAUCUCUUGUAUCAUUGCUGCAACGAUGCGGACUUGGCAAAUCAUUACUCGUCUUUUGGGUAUUGUGUUGAAUUGAAGAUAUGCACGCAUAUGUCUAGUGUUCAUUUAUGUUAGUUAUUAAUGUAAGACUUUAGUUCUGAGAUGCUCUGCGUAUUUUAGAUAUGUGAAUUUAUUAAUUCUAUAGCUGUGCUUUCUCAACACUUGUCAUAUACCUCAAAUAAAUGUGUUCCUCCAAUUCCAUCUACUGCAGUAAUUUCAGUACAGGAAAAUAGUAAUCCGUGGACUUUUUUUUUUUUUUUCCCAGUUAGGAGGAGUUAAAUAGUGGGUUUCAGGUUAGAUUUGAUGGAUCCAGGGGGUGAUGAGCAAUUAGACUUUGGAGAUGAAGAAUACGGAGGGAGUCAAAAGAUGCAGUAUCAUAGAGGUGGAGCAAUACCUGCACUUGCAGAGGACGAGAUGAUCAAUGAGGAUGAUGAAUAUGAUGAUCUCUACAAUGAUGUUAACGUUGGGGAGGGAUUCCUGCAGAUGCAGCAGCAGCAGCGGUCUGAGACACCACGGGCUCCUCUUGGUGUGGGCAAUGGGGGAUUCCCAGCUCCUAGAGCAAGUGUUCAGGAUCCGAGAGCAGAAACUGUGGUAACGCAAGGUGUAAACAUCCCUCGAUCUGCAACUGAAGGAAAGUAUACCAACUCUGGUGUUCGAUUUCCUGAUCAGAAGAGUGGACUGGCAUCUGAUGUAGGUGCCCUCCCUGGCACUGAUGCUUCUCAGAAAGGAAGAGCUCCAGAGAUUAUUCAUAACUCUCAAGCUGGAAAUUUGGGAUAUCAAGGGUCCAUGGCUGUUGCUAUGUCACAAAAGGUUGGAGUAGAGUCACUUGAUAUGUCAGGAAAAGUUACAGGGGAGCCUGGGCCAUUGCUAAAUCCAGUUGCGGGUGCCCCCAGAGUCAUUCCGCAGGUGCCAGCUAAUCAUAUGAGUUCAAGUUCGAAUGUUAAUAGUAUUCGCCCAGUUGUUACUGAAAACCAGGUAAGACCAGCUGUAGAGAAUGGGAAUACAAUGCUCUUUGUUGGAGAGCUGCAUUGGUGGACUACUGACACAGAGCUUGAGAGUGUUUUGACCCAGUAUGGGAAGGUCAAGGAGAUUAAAUUCUUUGAUGAGAGAGCUAGUGGAAAAUCUAAAGGCUAUUGCCAAGUUGAAUUCUCUGAUCCUGCUGCAGCAGCUGCAUGUAAAGAAGGCAUGAAUGGUCAUGUCUUUAAUGGGCGAGCGUGUGUGGUGGCGUUGGCUACUCCACAAACCAUUAAACAGAUGGCUGCUUCUUACAUGAACAAGACACAAGUCCAGUCUCAGUCCCAGUCCCAGCCACAGGGUAGGAGACCAAUGAACGAUGGUGCAGGUAGGGGCAAUGGAACUAAUUAUCCCAGUGGAGAUGCUGGGAGAAACUUUGGGCGUGGAGGAUGGGCUGGACGAGGAGGUCAGGGGAUGCCCAAUAAGGCUCCAGUAGGUGUACCUGGAAGAGGGAGAGGAACUGUUGGAGCGAAGAAUAUGAUGGGGAAUGCUCCAGGUGGUGGAAAUGGUGUCACUGGAGGAGCUUAUGGUCAGGGCCUUGCAGGUCCUGCUUUUGGUGGCCCUCCUACUGGCUUAAUGCAUCCUCAGGCAAUGAUGGGUCCCGGAUUUGAUCCGACAUAUAUGGGUCGAGGAGCUGGGUAUGGAGGCUUUUCGGGUCCUGCUUUCCCUGGGAUGAUCCCUCCAUUUCCAGCUGUUAAUCACAUGGGUCUUGCUGGGGUGGCUCCUCAUGUCAACCCUGCCUUUUUUGGGCGAGGAAUGGCUGCUAACGGUAUGGGUAUGAUGGGGACGGGAGGAAUGGAUGGACCUCACGCAGGAAUGUGGACCGACACAAGCAUGGGAUGGGGCGGAGAAGAACAUGGUCGAAGGACAAGGGAGUCAAGUUAUGGUGGUGAAGACAAUGCCUCUGAGUAUGGGUAUGGAGAGGCAAGCCAUGAUAAGGGUGUGCGGUCAAGUGCUGCUUCGCGGGAGAAGGAACGAGGUUCUGAGCGUGACUGGUCAGGGAGUUCGGAUAGAAGGCAUCGUGAUGAGAGAGAGCAUGAUAGGGACAGGUAUGACAGGGAUCACAGGUACAGGGAAGAAAAGGAUAGUUAUAGGGAAUAUCGUCACAAGGAGCGUGACCCAGGUUAUGAAGAUGAUUAUGACAGGGGACAACCUUCGAGAUCCCGGAGCAGGUCACGAGCAGUUCCAGAAGAACAUCACAGGUCUCGAUCAAGGGAUGCAGAUUAUGGGAAGCGGAGGCGCCUGCCAUCAGAGUGAUGUUAUCAGGUGGUUUUUAUUCUUAUAAUGGCCCUUUGUGCAUGAAAGCACCAACCUUAUCGGCUCUCAGUAGCAUUUGCCAGACUGCAGCAAAGCACCGUCAAUCUGAUUUCUGUUUAUGCUGCACACGAAGUGGCUUCUGGUCUAAAGAAGUAAGUCAUUUCUGUGAGGAUGCAGGAAGAACAGAUUUCGUUUGCUUUAUUCUUCACUGCAGAACAUAACAUGGUGCAAGACUUAAUAUUCGUACUACAAACUUUAAUUUUUUUUUUACUAGGAUAUUUUUGUGGAUUAGCUUUGUGGAGUGAUACUGUGUUAACCCUGCUGUGAGCCACUAUGUCUGCCCUGCUUAUUUCGCUUUUAGGAGUGAAUUGACAUCUAGCGGGAUAAGACUUAAGAUACUCAUAUUUGGAGUCACUUGACGUCUUGGACCUAUAUAUUUAAGUAUAUGUGUGACUUAACUAUGCUUAUGCUUUAUUUGUAAGCACCAUUCUGCAUUUUUUUGGUCUGAAGUUGGAAGUUUGAGGUUAAAAUUGAAUCCUUGCUGAUUUUGUGUGAGUUUGUUUUGCAAGUUUCAUGUGUAUCCUUAGAUGACGUGCAUUGCGGAGUGUUGGCAAAUAGCUGAGCAGUUGAUGUCUCUUUUAUUGUUUCACAUGUUUGGAAGAGAUGCUUUAUCCUCUAAAGGGUCUGUCUUGUCAUAAGAUGUAUUGGCUAUGUAUGCAUAGCAUAUAUAUCCUAAGAUAUCCUCUAAAUGUUGUGGUACUGGAUUUUCCUAUGUAGAGCUACUUCAUGCAUACCUUGAAUACAUGUAUCUUGCAUACCUUGAGCAUCCUUUAACUGCCUUUGCAAGUCAAUGUUAUAGGUAAUGUGCUCAAAUUGCUUUUAUAGGGUAAGAAUGAUAUGUAACAUAAUUAUCAAGUUUCUUGAUGAGCAAGAGACGUGCGUUUGCAAGUUGUUUCUAACUGUUGAUUCUUUGCCCAUUUAUUGCAUAAGAGCCUUCCUUAUGAAACGUCAUCUGGUGAUUUUUUGGUCAUGAGCUCUGAUCAAUCGGAGUACAUCUAUAUGGAUCAUAUAUACCUGAUAUUUUAUAAAUCAGCCGAAAUAGUGCUAGCAAUAUCUUUUAACCACAGGCUGCACUUUUAACAUCUUCAUCAGAGGCUACAAAGUUAACCUGAAUAGCUAAAUUUAUGUACUUUGUGUAAAUUUUUUUCAAAGUGCAAAAUACUGUGCCUUUUGAGUGUUGCUCCAGCUACCUUUGUCCGUGUAUAGCAAGUAAUAAUCAUCUUAUGACUGAGAAUGGUUUGUGUUGUAUGAAAGGAAAUAAGAGAAUGACUGCACACCCUUUUGUUUUGUUUGUUGGAGAUUUUUUUUUUUUCUGUCCAUAUCAUAUGCAGUUAAUAUAUAUAUAUCAUGAUUUGGCUUUUUGAUAGUCCCCUUUUAAUAAGUAUUGACAUGGGCUCUAAUAAUCAUAUUCAGGGAGCAGAGAGACAACUCUUUGUUUUGUGACUAAAUCAGCUGAAUUGGUUACUUGAAGGAAGAUAAGAUAAAUUGGUCGCUAUUCUUGGAUUUCUUUGAAAACAUUAGUCAUCUACCUAAUGUGCCAAAGAAGCCUUAAUCAUACUGGCUGCAUUUCGUUUUCCUCAAGAACUUAGUGAAAUGUUCAUAAGUGAUGCCUCUGCAAGAAAAUGUCUAAACAGUCAAAUUCGCCAAACUGUAACAUUCGGGGCCAUUAUAGUUAAUUCUUCAUGUAGCUACCAUAUUUACGUGUCCACUUUUGUUGUUUUUUUUUUUUUUUAAAUCAUAGAUCCCAUGUUCUAGGUUUCACGUGUAAUAGUGCUUCAAUGUCGCUGUCUAAUUUGUGAGGUAUGUAGCCAAUUCUUUUGUAUAUGAUGUACUGUAUAUGGUAGCACUGGUCCUGUUCAUGCGAGGGUUUUUUUUGUUUCAAAUUGUACUGUAUCUUGGAGUUGGGUUGCUACAAUAUCUCAAGGGGAUUUCAUUUGGUUGAUGGUGCUUGUACCGGUCUGAGCUUAUGAAGCAUGAGAUAAAUUCUCACGGUUCUUUGCAAAUUGUAGAUCUUGUUUGUCAGAAUUGCACUCCUGUAUAUGGUGGAAUUGGUGGCAAAAGUGUCUGAUUUUGUGGUUGUAUAGGAUAGCAUAAGUAGGGUGCCAACCAUAGGAAGUUAACUGUAACAUUCUCAAGGAUUUGAUCCGGCAUAUUUUCGUCACGAGCUUGAAGGUCCCGCUUUCCAACCUUACAAUGUAAUCUAAAAAUUUCUUUGAUUUUUCUAGUUCUUGGAAUGUAAAUGUUUCGCACUAGAUGGGGUUGGGACCAGUGAUCUCUCUCUUUAUUGGAGUCGUGCUCUUUUUGCUGCAUCUGUUCCAUGCGUUUCUAAUCUCGUGCGUCUGUUCGUCUAGAGUUGAUUUAUGCAGGGAAGCGUAUUUAUUUAUUUAUUUAUUUUUUUUUUUGGUUUAGGAAAAUAAGAAGUGAGAUAUGGAGAUGAUAGUAACUGUGUGUUUGUUAUUCUCCUGCCGGAUAAACUUACAAGUCGCAGGACCAUAAUCUUUUCUCCCACUUCCACUUGUCAUUGGAGACGUAGCUCUGUUGUUAUAGCCUGCUAAUUUUUCUGCGGCAACUGUUGUAUUUGUCAUUGGAGUAUGUUACCUUAGUUUGCCAUCAAAUGUCACCCCUUCUAUCCCCGCUUGUGUAUGUAUUUUUGCAGCCAGUAGUUCCAUCCUAAAUCCUUGAUGCUCUAACUUGCAAUCCUUGAAAACCAAGAUGACAGAGAUAAGACGAAUGAGAUUAUUAGGAGUAUUUGGCCAUUACUUUCCUGGUGUUUGGUCCAGAACUCGUGGAUGCUAUAGCUGGGAACACGAUUGUCUCCUCCAAGUAGGACAGGAGCCGAUUAAAUGUGUUCACGUAGAGAAAAUUGCUGCCCAAUAAUUAGCUGGGAAAACCUCUACUUGAAGAUUCCCCCGCCCCCCCCCCCUCCCCCCACCCCCAAACAAAAUUGUAACAUAACGAAGUAUGUGGGAUUGGACAACACGGUCAAGCAUUUGGGAAUCGCUGGCUAUGAUAUUUUUCACAAUUAAUUUUUUUUUUUAAAAAAAGAAAAGAAAAGGAAAUUUACUAUUGCAUCUUCAUAUAUUAAUAUUAUGCUUGAUCGUUGAUGUGAUGUUUGGCUUACCAUUCAUUCAAAACACACUAGCUGAGGGUCUUGGAUCCAUCACUCGCGAAUAAUUGGUAUGGUCUAGUUUGAUUACAGGCUAGGCGCUGUGUGUCCUCCUUCUAUGUAUGGUUAUCGGCUAGGAGCUUAGUAAGGUGAAGCGAGGUUUCAGCACCACCAAUGGGGCAUCAAUUCUACUGCAAUCGCCACCUAAAAAUUUUCAUCAACACAUUGGUUUCUACAAAAUUGGUGGACUGCAACAACCUUAAUGAUAACUCAUGGUUCCAUAAUAAAACCAUUGCUGAAAAUGUGCAGGGCCUUUCAGGGGCACCGUCAAAUUCAAGGACUCGGGAAAACUUAGCCCCGAAAUCCGCGUUACUGGAGACAAGACAUCCAUUCCCACAUUUCCCCAUCUUGGCUGACAUUAUUAUAAGUACCCCUCCAUUCACCACAAUAUGCUUCAUUGCAGUGCUUCUCUGUUGCAUCAAGAGAAAUUGCUGCAUACUUUAAAGAGAAAAAAAGAAAAAAAAAAACUACGAGAAGCUUUGUGCAACAAUGGCUCGCCAAAUUGUUGUCCUUGCUCUUAUCUUCUUUGCCAUUGUUGGCAUGGCUUCUGCAACCGCCCAAGCUCCAGCUGCUAGUUCCGAGUCAGAAGCAGGUAUCGGCCCGGCGCCCGAUAACCACGACAUUGGCCUCGUUGGUGGUUCUGGUGCCGACUACGGUGCUGCGCCUAUUGGUGGACCUGUGACACCAGGAACUUUCUCCCCUGGCAGCCCUGCUGAAGCACCAAAUGGCAGCGGUUCAACCAUUCUUGAAGCAUCUGCCGUUGCCGGUCUCGUCGUCUCCGCCAUCGCGGGUUCAUUUUUCUUCUAAAUCCUAGUCCACUCAGAUGUGUGACAAUUACUUGUAUUACUCGUCCUUGUGAUCAUUGAGCCUGUAUUUUCUGUUGUAAAAUUGAGGCACACCAGAAAAUGCAUUGGACGACAGAGUUUUACUACUGUUUUUCUGAAGUUUAAGGCUCCCUUUUGUUUGUUUCUUCUUUCUUUCCUUUUUCCCCCGGGUCCUCCUUCAAUGCUCGAAGAUUUUCUACUUCCCAAUUUUGUGUAUUAACCAACAAUACUAGAAGAGUUAAUAAAGAGCGUCCAAUUGUGAACCUGCCGCAUUGCUACUUUUGUUGGUGAGACAUCCGGAAAAUAAUCUGGUUAAUAUUCAAAUAAAAUUUCAUGAAAAAAUCAAGAACACAAAUACUCUUUUCCCUGUGGAUGAUUUGAUCACAUUUCAGCGCUGGAGGGGGCAACGAACGAACUCCUAUUUCAUGCACUUGCGGCUUUUGCCCUUGUCGGGGUAUAAACCAUGGUGCGGGAGGGUCGUAAGUCGUAAGUCGUAAGUAAGGGCCGAUGCCUCUUUAAAAAUCACGCUAUUCAGGUGAAGGCGUGAUCAUAAGCACAGACAAUAACCCACGCCUCUUCUUAAGACUUAAAAAAAUGUGUUUGAAAGUCGCGAUAUUUCCAAUACAAUGGUCCAGCUAUCUCCGCUUAUCGUCUGAUUUCCAAAGGACUGUAUACAUCAUUAAUUGAAGCAGAAGAAAAAGCUUAUAGAAAAUUUUUGCAAAUGACUUUUUUUUUUUUUUUUACAGAAGUUGGAUUAGCGUAGAAAUAAAAAUAAAAUAAAAAGGUUGUGGAAGUUAUGAGAAAAUUCUGACAUUCAAAAAAGUGUCCACACUCUUAAUAGGACACCUCAUAACUUAAAUAAGUGGACAACCACCUUUUAAGCCUCGUCUGUUUGAAGUUGCGAUGGUUUAUUAUGAAGGGAAAGAAAAAACACUUCUAACAUAUAAUAAGUAUUUUUAACAAGAGUGUUUUUAAAUUAUCAAAAGUUGGGCUAUUUAAAAUAGAAAAAAUUAAUUCCCUAACACCACCCUACAAGUACCUUUAAUACUUAAAAUGGCUUCCCUUUUUUUUUUUUUUAAAUGGGUAAGCACACCGUAGCCCCCAAACAGGACCUUACUCUUGAGAACGUCAAAGGAUUAAGUGAAUAACCCUUUCCAUGAGCAUUUUUCAUGUCAAUUUAUAUGAUAUACUCCAUAUCCAAAUUGAGUUCAACUUAGUAAAAGUUGAUGCAAAAUUGACUCAUGAAUCAAUCAAAUUAACACGAACAAAUGUCAGUCUUUGUUAUUAUCUUCAUAAGUUUGAAUUGGAUUUGAUCACACAAUAAAAUAAAUAAAAAAUUCAUCUAUGCAGUUUGAUUUGUAAGUCAAACACUAUACAAGAACCUUUUUUUUUUUUUUUUUAGUCUAACACUAUACAAGAAUUUGAUAGCAGUUUGAUUAGAUAAAAAUCAUCUGUGCUUAUUAGAUUCAAUGGAGCUUAAAUAAUACUUAAACAUAAUUGUAAAAUAAUUAUUAAAGUCAAAUUAAAAUCAGAAUUUUUUUAAAAAAAAGUCAAAUUAAACCUGAACCCAACAAAGUUCGGUUCGAUUCGGUUUGUUUCUACGGUCAUCAUACCUUGAUGUUAACCCGACCACCGGUUCGGGCCAAAAGCGAAGGAAGAAAGAAAAGAAGCGGGAGUAUAAUAUAAGGGAGGGUUUUAGCACAAAUGGAAGCGAGUUGCCGAGUUAGGGCAAAGCCAAACUUCUGAAAGCUUCCGGAGUGGGACUGCAAGCAGUGCUCAAUACUCAUAGAACACUCAUUUUCACUUGUAUUCUCUCUCUUUUUCUGAAUCUCUGGUGGUCUUUCAGAUCGGAUCCCCGAUAAAUGGCGUUGGCGUUCGAUGAGUUUGGUCGGCCGUUCAUUAUAAUUAAAGAGCAAGAGUCCAAGACUCGAUUGCGAGGCCUUGAUGCUCAGAAAACUAACAUUGCUGCCGGAAAGGCCGUCGCUCGUAUUCUCCGUACCUCACUUGGCCCUAAAGGCAUGGAUAAGAUGCUUCAGAGCCCCGACGGCGACAUCACUAUCAGUAAUCUACUAAUCUCUUCUUACUCUUCCCUUCCUCUACGUUAUCAAAUUGUAGAAUUAUGUUGGUUUUGUGAGGUUUAUUAGUGAGUUGUGACUGUUAAAGUAUCUGUGUGAUAAAGCUCGGGUUUUAGGAGCUUCAUUGCUGGAUUUAAAAAUUUUUUAUUUAAUUUUAAUUAGUAAUUGUAAUUAGUAGAUUUCUAAGUAAAGUCUGAUAAAAGGUUGGUACUUGGACUUGUGUAGUGGUAUUUGAGAGUGGAACGCACCUAAUUUAGGUGAAAGUGGAUGAUGGUCUUUACUGAACGUUACAAAAAAAAAAAAAUUAAAUCCUUGAUUAGAUUGGCAAAUUGACAAGUGUAGGAAAAUUUGCUGGAGAUGUAAGAUGAUUAAAAUUUGGAUGACGAGCUUGCAGUUUUUUUUGUAAUUCCAUCCCUACAUUGUGCUGGUAGUUCAUUUACUGCACUAAAUAGGUGCUUGUUCUUUCCUUUUUUGUCCCCGCCCUCUCUGUUAUCUCAUUUGUUGUGACUAUGUAAUCGAGUUUGGAAGUGUCUGUGAUCCAGAAGAGUUUGAUUAACAUUUGAAUCGCGGUGUUCGAACUUUUGGUGUUUAGCUGUUUGAAAGAAGAUGUCAUUAGGUUAUCUGGAAUUGAAUAUACUUGUUUUAUGUUUGAAAUUGAGGACUGAUGGAGAAUGCAUGCUGCCUGUGGUGUCUGUCUUGACCUUUUCUUGUACCCUUUUUAGAAUUGAUAUGCCACCUUUCCGGUUGUCAUACUUGGAUGCAUGCCACAUUUUUCAUAGAGCAUAUGCUGUUCUCGGUGAUGUGGAUUAAAAAAAAUAAGGAAUGAACAAAAAUUAAAUGGAAGAAAAGGAAGAGUUGUCAUCUAUCUUAACUUUCUUUUCUGUUCUGAGGUUUUCUAAUACUUGACACCAUGAUUUGCAGCAAAUGAUGGUGCAACAAUCUUGGAGCAGAUGGAUGUCGACAAUCAAAUUGCAAAGCUGAUGGUUGAAUUAUCUCGUAGUCAAGAUUAUGAAAUUGGUGAUGGAACAACUGGUGUUGUUGUCAUGGCUGGUGCUCUCCUUGAACAAGCUGAGCGGUUACUUGAACGCGGUAUUCAUCCUAUCCGGAUAGCAGAAGGAUAUGAAAUGGCUUCAAGGAUAGCUUAUGAACAUUUGGAACAUAUAGCACAGAAGUUUGAGUUCGAUGCCACAAACACAGAGCCUUUGAUUCAGACUUGUAUGACUACUUUAUCUUCCAAGAUGUAAGUACCAGGUUACUUCAAUCUUUGAUUUAUUUUUGCUUGUCUUCAAAUGGUUGUUCUGUAUGGUAAUUGGCGUUAUAGGAUAUUUGUAAUGAUUAGUUUUAAUCCAAUGAGAAAAGUAAGAUAGGCUGUGUAUCGUUAUAUUGCUCUGGUAUGUCAUUUUGUUAAAGGACUGACGUACUUCCUGCUGUUGUGGAUGAUAGUCAGUUUCCUGCAUGGAAGUUAAGCUUUCUGGUGAUUGGUUAAGAUGACCUUGCUACACAUUUUUGUCUGUUCGGCAUGAUAGGUAGAUGUUGCUGUUAUAAGUUACAGAUGCCAAACUUGGUUAUAUAUUGCUGGAUAUCUUUAUAAUUUUGGAUAAGAAAUCAUCGAAGUUCUCUCCUCUCUCUCUCUCUCUCUCUCUCUCUCUCUCUCUCUCUGUGAACAAAUGAACUUGAGUAGAGAGAAUGAAAGUGGUCAGAUGCACAGUUCUUAAUUGAAAAGUAUGACCUGUUUGCUUGCUUUUAAGUCAUUUUUAAAGUUCCAUAAACCUCUUAAGUUGUUUCAUCUUCUGAAUUUUAGUGCCUUUAAAAUUUUACUGCAGUGUGAAUAGAUGCAAACGCAGUUUGGCUGAGAUUGCUGUCAAAGCAGUUCUGGCAGUUGCAGAUCUAGAGAGGAGGGAUGUGAACCUGGAUCUGAUCAAGGUAGAAGGAAAAGUAGGUGGAAAGCUGGAGGAUACUGAGCUAAUAUAUGGAAUCAUUGUUGACAAAGACAUGAGUCACCCGCAGAUGCCCAAGGAGAUACAAGAUGCAAAAAUUGCUAUUUUGACUUGCCCCUUUGAGCCACCUAAGCCAAAGACCAAGCAUAAGGUUGAUAUUGACACUGUGGAAAAAUUCCGAACAUUGCGUCAACAAGAGCAGAAAUACUUUGACGACAUGGUACAGAAGUGCAAGGUAAGAUUGCAUGAAGGGCUACAAGUGUGGAGAGGAAUCAUAGAAGUAACCUAGUCUGGCCCCUGUUUUAGUCCAAAAUGCAAAUUGGGAAAAGCAGAUGGAUACUUAAUGUGUGUAUCCAGUUUUGCUUUACUUUUAUGAGCAAAAAGAGGAAUGGAAACACCAAAGUUUUUCUUAUGACUUCAUGGUUCCCUUUCCUCAUAUAUUGAGAGAUAUUUUUGUACUAGUGAGGAAUGCUGCAAACUUCUUCCCCUCCCGGUUGGUUUUAGAAUUUCUAAACAAUUGAUACAUGUAAUUGAAUUAUAGAAAUCAUUAUUCUAAUUUCUAGAAGGCUCAGUUUUUUGGAUGUUGAGUAGCGUCAUAAAUUUUUUUUUUUUUAAACUAAUCUCAACAUAACCUGAGUUUCAGGAUGUUGGUGCUACCUUGGUAAUCUGUCAAUGGGGUUUUGAUGAUGAAGCAAAUCACUUGUUAAUGCACAGAAACCUGCCUGCUGUACGUUGGGUUGGUGGUGUUGAGUUAGAGCUGAUAGCGAUUGCCACAGGUUUUUGUUUUAGUUGCCUCUCAGAGUAUUACUUUUUUGCCUGCUGUUUCUGCAUGGUCAUGUUAAAUCUAUAUGUUUAUCUUGCUCUAUUGGUUGCUUAGGUGGAAGAAUUGUGCCAAGGUUUCAAGAGUUGACACCAGAAAAGCUAGGCAGAGUAUUUCCCAUUUCCUUCUAGUUGCUCUUUGUAUAUUAUACAGAUAAAUGUUUCCAUCCCUGCAAUUAUAUUUGCAAAUGAUAUUUCUUGUGGUCAGAUUAUGUAGGUUAGGGCACUACUUCUUUGACUGCUAUAAGCAGUGAUUCUGUUCGUGAGUCUGCCAUAACAUCAUCAAUAUUUCUGCAAAUGACAACUUUGUCAUUAUUAACAACAAAGAACUGGAGAGCCCUAAUAAGAUUUUUAAAGCUUGUAUGUAUUCAAAUUUAGUCCUGUUAUUAAUUGAGCAAACAAGUGUCUUGGACACUUUUAACCAUACUGGGGCAGAUUUUCCAUUAUUUUUAGGUAAUUUCCGCGCAGAUCUCAAUAACGAUGAGAAUGUUGGUUAAUUAUGUUGUAUUUUAAAAGACAUUUGACUUUAGAUCUGCAUUGUUACCGAGUCUCUAAUAUCCUCCCCUUCUCUUCUUUAAGUUUUAUUUUUAUCUCUGCUGCAAUUCAAAUAAAGUUCACUGCUCGAAUUUAUUAUAUGUUAAACUUUAUAUCAAGCUAUAUUAAAGGUAAUUAAAAACUUAGUUCUCCUUAUGUUGAAAUUGUGUGUACAUAAAGUUCGUGAGAUGGCAAGUUUGGUGCACCUCAUGAGAAAUAAAACAUUGAGCUUAUCUUUAUUGCCCGGAGACAUUGUUAUGAUCAAACUUUUAUCGUUUAUUUAGGGUUUUUGAUUUCUUCUGCAAAUGUGUUUGAUUCAAUGCUUGCUUUGCAUAUCCAGGCGGGUUUGGUUCGUGAAAAAGCAUUUGGUACCACGAAAGAUCGCAUGAUUUACAUUGAGCAUUGUGCAAAUUCAAGAGCUGUUACAAUUUUCAUUCGCGGUGGUAGGUUGCUCCCUCCCUCCAGACUCCCGCUCUUGCUUAUUUUAUUGCAGCAUGGUUCACAUAAACAAAUUAAAUGUCAUUGUAUGCUAAAUAGAGUUCACAAUUUUUAACUAAGUUUUCUGUUGAUAGUGCAAAUCAUCACAACCAAAUUAACAUGCAUUUUUUGCUUUAUUAUUAUAUUGCUUUAGGUAACAAGAUGAUGAUAGAGGAGACAAAGCGUAGCAUCCAUGAUGCUUUAUGUGUAGCUAGAAAUCUUAUCCGCAACAACUCUAUAGUAUAUGGCGGUGGUUCUGCUGAGAUUUCUUGCUCAAUUGCUGUGGAGGCAGCUGCUGAUAAGUAUCCUGGAGUUGAGCAGGUAAGGUGCUUUUUGUGUUGUUUUGACUAUUUAAGUGGCCAAUAUGAUACUAAGGUUUUUCUACUUCUGCAGUAUGCCAUUCGGGCAUUUGCUGAUGCUAUGGAUUCUGUCCCCAUGGCACUUGCUGAGAACAGUGGGCUCCAACCCAUUGAGACUCUAUCUGCUGUAAAAUCGCAGCAAAUUAAGGUAAGCUGGAGUUGAGUUACACAUAAUUUCUUGCUUGAGUUUGGCUUCUUUGAUUUAGUUCGAGUGAAAUGAUUUUGUUUUGUUGCCAAAUUCGUAUGCAGGAGAAUAACCCCUGGUGUGGGAUAGACUGCAAUGAUGUUGGUACAAAUGACAUGCGUGAGCAAAAUGUAUUUGAAACUUUAAUCGGGAAGCAGCAGCAGAUGUUGCUUGCAACUCAAGUUGUUAAGAUGAUCCUUAAGAUUGAUGAUGUCAUCUCUCCAUCUGAUUAUUGAUUUUGAGUUACAAGAGACUGUUUGUUUGUCUGCAAGAGUGCUGACAACUUCAACGAGUGAUCUCCUCUGGUUGGAUGUUUUGACAUAUUUGCUUUAUAAUUGUUAGACUUUAUGUGAUUUAUGGAUUUGUAAUCCUUCGGAAGAUGCAUGAUUCUCUUCAUGAUCGUUAGACUAGUAUUGACACCAAUACUUAGCUGAGAAUAUCCAACACGGUUUUUGUUUGUAAACUAAAAUGGUGCCUAUUGUUUUCUGUGACUGGUUACAUGAUGCCCCUUGUAAUCUGAAGUCGCAGAACCUAUGCAUCUUGCACUUAGAUCCUUGGAAUGUCUCCUCAAAAAAAAGAAAAAAAAAACUUGGAAUGUAUGUGGGACUAGCGGGUCUGUAGCGCCAAAAAAUAGCUAGCAUGUUUGUGUAGACAACCCAGGGAUUUCACCCUAUAUUGAUCUUCUUGGCCAUUAUCUGCUGCUUCAUUCUAUCUCAGGAAAGUCAAUAGAAACGAUGAUUAGUCUUCCAUAUGGUGACAUAAUGGCACUAAAAGAGUUUAUCAUCUGAUGUGGUAAGUUGUAAUAGUUGGCUAUCUCAAAUUUCGUAGAGUUUAGGCAAUCAAGGCCAGUUUGAACAGCGAAUCAAUUUAAGCUGCCACAUUGAGUGUUUCAUUUUUACGAGGCACAGCUUCAGACAACCGCAGUUGCACCUUGAAAAAUUCUGUGGCUUGACAAAAAAAAAAUAGCAGAGAAUAUACUGCUAUUGAGUUGUGGGGAACUUCGGGCAAGGAAUGCAGCAGGUCCCAAUAACUACUUUAAGGUAACCGGGAAAUGUUGUGUCAUCCUCGAGACAACCCUUAGAAAGGGAGUUAGGAUUAGCGUAUUGAACUGCUCGUAGGACUGAAAUUUAGUGCUUUAGUACAACGUUGGGCAAAAACAAAAAAUGUAAGAUUCAAAUCCUGUGGUGUAUAUCAUGUUUUAACGCUGUGCAUGAGAAUCAAAAAAAUGUACUACGUAAUAUAUUUGCAUUGUAUUGAAAAUGAUUUACAUUCUGAACCAAUGAAUUUAUAUAUAUUCUGUUGAAUUUAGCAAAACCGUUACUAGAGGGUUGCGCACUCGCACGGUAACCGUCCAUGCCCGAGGUUUCAAAAAAGAAGAAAAAGAGGAGGGUUUUUGGUUCUCUGACAACCAAGGGCCAGGGGAUCUAACUUUUAGGGAAGGUCAGUUUUAAAACUUUUAUUUACUGCCAUGCGAUCCAAGGAUUGUUGCCUCAAAAGUUCAGAGAGACGGUAGAUUAAUUCACUGAUUUAUGGCUUCUUGGAUUUGCCUAGAGCACGAGUGGGGACUCAGGAGCAAUUAAUAGCAGCACGGCUGAAGUGUUAUUGUAACUCUGCCUUCUGCAAACAACAUCUGGGCAUUCAUAUCGCAUUUCAAAGGAUAGGUUGAAUUUAUUGUUGUUGUCAAUUCUGUCAACUGAACAUGGUUAAUCGAUUUGUCGGCCUCAAGACCAGCCUUUCUUUCUUACGGAAACGAAAUUUGUUUAAUUAAACCUAAUCCCAGAACAGUACUCAAGAGCAGCCUUUCCAUUGAGUAUUAAGUAGGCCUCCCAUGUUUGGGAAGCUAUCCUGAAGUAUUAGAUUAAUAUGUUUUAUGUACUAACGCUAAUAUUUUUUUUACACGAACAAUCUUGGAUAGAUAUAUGUCACAUGUGCGUAAUUUCAAUUUUAAAUUUAAAUUUAUGUUAUAUGGCAUGAUCUAAAAUUAUUUGUGAAAAAAAAAAAUCUUCCCACUGGCAGUGUAUGAAAAAAGUUAUCCUAAAGUAUUUAGGCCUAUUUUGUGUACAAGUAACACUUUAGAUUAAAACUUGGGUUAAUUAAAAAAAACUCCUCUUUAAGAUAUAUCUAUUAAUGCACAUUGCCCUUUAAUGUUAUUUUUUUCUCACUUUAUCCCCUAAACCAUUAGUUGGUUCUAAUGUUGUGUAAUGGUAAUGUCAAAAAUAUAUUUAUACCCUUAAUAGUUAAAUGCAACAAUUUACCUAGCUUAUUUUACACUUUAUUCCCUAACAUUAUUUUUUCCCAAUUUGUCUGUUUGUCAUUGAAAUAGGUAGUCAACUCUAAUAGUUUAUAAUGCUCAGGAGAAAUAAUGUCUAAAAAAUAAUAUCCUUAGCAUAGUAAUGAAAAAAUAAUAUAUGUAUAUAUAUGGUCCUAAUUAAAUUUCAUCCCCUAAUUAAUAAUUUUUUUAGAUUGGGAGAAAUAUCUUGCUAAUUUCACCAAUAAUGGCAAAAAAUAUUCUUGAAAAAUUAAUAUGUGAAAUUAAUAUUAAAAGUCUAAAAAUGCUCGAAUAUUUUCAAUAUCUCUUUGUGAACGUGCCUAUGGUUGCACUUUUCCUUUAAUAGCUAGAUAUUUUUUUUUAUAUGGGAAUAUACAUUUUUUUUGUUUAUAAUACUUAAAAAAGAGAGAAAUAUGAUUGAUUUGGGUUUCACGGUUUUUGGGUCGAUUUUUUUAAUAUAGCAUGAUUAGAUGCUAUUAAAAAUUGUUUGGAUUACUAAAUUUUUCUAAAAAAAGAACUUUUUCUCACAUCAUAAUUAUAUUUCUCAAUGAUCUUUUUAAAUUUUUCUACCAUCUUUUUAUUUCAUAAACAUCAAAUCACAAAAAGUAUUUUUUAAAAAAAAAUUCAAAUAAUCUUUAAUCCAAGCAAACCCAAUCUAUAGACUUUUAAUAUAUUUUUAUAGUUUAUUUUUCACUAAUAAUAUUUGUUUUUUCCCCUUAUCAUGUAACACGAGUGCGAUAAAGUGCAAAAUUGGUUGAACCUUGAGGAUAGUUAAAAACUUUUGUAGGUUUGUAGAGCUUACAUGAACACAAGAUGACAGUCAUACUCUGAAAUUCGAUUAGUCUACAAACGAUUGACAUUUGAAGGAGAAAAAGAAGAAUGAUUAGACCAAGUAAACCUAUCAACUUUUAAAAUAUUCGUCUAAUGGGGACUAGUGACAUGAUACAAUUGGCUUCACUGAAUUAUAUACGCUACUCAUCAGCCCCUCGAAUUCUUUAUCUGGGAGCGGAGCCGAGGCUGUGAGACCAAAUGAUGAACAAGGUGAUAAUUAUUACCAUUAGUUUACAUCCACCAAAAUCACAAGUAAAAGACACUUGGCGUCCACUUAUUGUCGCCUGAUAUGUGAUUAGAAGUAAUUGCAGCAACGAUCCUUGAGUUUUGGAAAUUGGAAAUGUCGUUGGAUCAGCAGCGUGAGCCUUUCCUGCAGAUUAAUGAGCCAGCUCCAGAAGUGAGGGAGGCAACCAGGGAAGAUGGUCUGGCGCUCAAGCUGUAUGCCUUCGAGUAGCUAGAAGAGGCUCCCGCCCCGGACGUAGUGAAGAAGGCACCGUUCAGCAUCAAGUCCCCUUCAGACCUCCAGUUCCAGCUCUUCCAUUCACUCUCUGGUGCAACCUCGUGUUUCGUAACCUUUACCAAUUCAGGCAACAAUAGAACAAUUAACAUCCACUCAGGCUAUAAUUGGUUGUUGCAAACGUAAAAAGAAUUUAAUGCUACUUUUAAUGCUUUAAAUGUCAAUCCCACUUCUUAAAGAGGUGUUUUGAUUAAUGUGGUCAAUCCCACUUUUAAUGCUACUUUUAUGAUGUGAUCCAAAAGCGAGAAACAAAUGAAGAGCAGGGGGAAAAAUAAAUUCUAAAAAGAGUAAGAGUUAAGGAUAGCAAUGGAUUAUCACCUCUUUGGUGAAAAUAUCAUUUGGUGCAAGAAAUCGGUUGCCUUGGCUAUUGAUGGUGGGAGCAGCACUGCCACCAAUUGCAUACAUUUCCCAAUGGGUGUAGUCAUUGUUCACCACAUGGAAGUAUCCGUGUCUACAUCUGCAACAAAAUAUUGAGUUAGAGCACAUCAAAGAUCAUCCUUGGAAGGAUGACCCCUUGAAAUUCAAUUGAUUAUUGAGGUUCUGCAUCUGGCUACUGUUUUUACCUAGGCAUCCUCUGUACUAGCCCUUCACCAAAAUGGUUGAAAGCUAUAGUGACUUGCAUAUUCUUGUCCUGUAAGUAUGUGUCACUAUGGCCUAAAAGCAUAACCUUGUUGUGAUGCGUCAGGUAGUUGUUAGAAAUGGUGAUGGCUGUAGAUCCAUGGAUUGCAUCAAUUAGACCAUCACGGCAGUUGGACAAAGAGCAAUGAUCCACCCAAACAUGGCUUCCACCAAAGAUGGAAACUCCAUCGCCAUCUGAGAGCGUUCUCCAUCCGAAAUGUUCAGGCGAGUCUCUCACAUACGCAUUUCCACCUUGCUUGCAAUCAUGGAUGUUUAGGCCAUGAACGAUGAUAUUAGUUACAUAUUGUAUAGUAAUGCAUGGCCCUCCUGCAAUGUGGACGUUAGCACCUCUACCAUCAAUCGUCUUGAAUGAGUUCAUUAUCAGCUCUUCCUUGAGCUGGAUCACCAUAUCACGAGCAAAUAUAAUCCAUAAAGGUUCAUCUUGUAUGACACCAUAUCUAAGAGUUCCAGGCUUAGGAUUCACAGGAUGAUCUCCAUUGUCCGUAACCACGUAGAUUUCACCAUCUCUUCCACCAACAGCAUGCUUACCAAAUCCAAUAGCGCAAUCAGCUAAGCUUUGGCGGUUCUUCUCCCAAUUGGGGUCGCACCUCCAGCAAUCAUCAAUAGGGUUGCCAGUGCCACAAGAAAGGAAGGCCAGAUUUCUUCUCGAUGCAUUUAUUUUCCUGCAAAAAUUAUUCAUCCAAGAAGUAAUGACAUGACUGGUACUUGUGCUCUGUGAGUUGUGAUCAAUUAUGGAUGCUACAAUAUGCAAUUAGUACUUCUACUUCAUAGUGAAGGAACGAAGUAGUGAGCGCGAAAUGUUGGAAUGAUAUUACCACAAUUCAAGGAUGAAGAACUAGUUAGUAUGAAUUGUACAUACUCGUUUACUUCUUGCACCACUGAUUCGGGGUCUGGCACUGGUGAAGACAAUGUGUUAGUUGAGGCCAAUAACAGAAGCAGGAAAAACAGAAUGGAAUGUGGCAUUGCAGCUGUCUGCUCUUCGACCUGGCUGGAAAUGUGAGGUCCGGGUAGAGGAGAGACAACGGAAAGGUAGAAAAUGGUACGUGUGAAGCUGAAAAAGGUUCAGGUUUAUAUACAGUAUGAGGGUUGGACAUAAAAUUGAUUGAAGAAAACAAUGAGGGCCUACAUGCUCCAGUUCUUCUAAUUCUGUACCUUCACAAUGUGGUUCUGUUACCAAGUCCUUUACACUUAUUAAUAGAGCCAGUACUAGUAUAGUAGUAUAAAUUUCCCCCCACUAACACAAAUUUAAAGUUAAGGUCCAUGCAUGUGACUUGAUAUUGCUCUCAACGUAAGAGCUAGGCCCCCUCAAGCUUUUUUGCUUAUCAGUCUCACAUGGAGUAUAUUAAAGUUUCUCACAUUUAGUCGUGGGGUUUGCUGAGGAAGACUAGUACUGCUGAGCAGUGAGUACUGACCAGAAAAGAAAGGCAAGCACAUUUGAUGCACUUUUUUGUUCUUUCAGUUGUACUUGGGCCUUGCGUGGCCAUCGAAGUAGUUUAAUUCUCUGCUUUUGUUCUCAAUAUAAACAGUGACAAGGCCGCGAGGCACCAAGGGGUCAUCAUUCAAUCAUCAUUUGUCGCUAUACUAUACUCAUGCAUGCAUAAUGGCAUCGCAAGCAAAUUCUACCGACAGUUUUAAAAUUAUGCGUGCAUCAUAGUAACUGUCGGUGGUGUGGUUGAUCAAAUUAGAACAUCCAAAUUCAACAAUAAUUGGAGUCCAGUCCUUCUCUGUUUCCACUUUCCACUAAAUAUCCAUUGACGCUUAAGCUAGAGAUUUCCUAUUGGAAACUCCAUUACAUUCAUUUUUACGAUUUCAUGAAACUCGGGAUCCCUUUUUUUUUUUUUGGCCAACUCGGAAUUUUACAGCAAUAUUUUUGUCAUCAAAAUGAGGCAUCCAUCCAAGUAGUACGUUUAAUAAAACCAGGCUCAAUCAUACACCAUUAGAAAGGGGAUGUAACGAUGAAUCGAGUCUUGCACAAGAGGAACAUUUGAUUAGGACAAAAAAGUGCAGACUUUAGAAGAUGCUGACACUUCUUGAAUCUGAUGAUAAACUUCCAACCUAAUUCUGGCUCUAAUUUUUUCCUCUGAAGUAGAAACAGAAACAUUUUGAUCAUGGCUCUCAGAAAAUGGAUUUACUUUUCUUCAUGGCCAGUUUCUUUGAGACCUAUGGGUCUGCUGUGCCUGUGAUCUCAUGGAUCACAUAUUUUAUUCGGUCCGAUGAUAAGCACGGGUGUGUCAGUGUCCUCCAGACUAGAGUAAUACCAAGACAAGAUAUUGAGUUACCCUGCAGGGAUGUUCAUGUUCUUCGAAAUCCAAUAAAUUAAUCUUCUGCUCAUUCCCUUAAAAAAAGAAAGGCUUCCCCCCAGGAUAUUCAGGCUCGAUUGAGUUAGAUUGCCCACCCCUUUGUGCGGGUAAAGAAAGAAAUCCAGCUUUUAAUACUCCAACAAUAAACCAUGGAGCCCGCCGGAAUUUCAAGAAAGCAGAUUUCCGUUGUCCAUCCUGAAUAAUGGUGGUGGCGACAAUUGAAAGUCAUUGGCUUCUUAGAGCUUCCACAUGUCAGGUAGUUAAUUGUACCCCACGUGGGGACACCGUAGAGUCCGUACCAUCCAUCUCUUUCGGGAAUGAAGGUGGACAUCGUUUUCUGGGGAAGGGCACGCACGUUCUUCCAUGUGAGUUUUGUUCGCCUCCCUCUCCUUCUAAUCUUGUUUCUAUCCCACGUAGGACGGUAGGGAGCUUAGGCGCCUCGGUUGAACGUGGCUUUUCUCAUUUUGUCAAAUCGCAACUUGGAUCAGUGUGGAUACUCCUAGUUUCUUCUCUAAUUUGGUGGGAUGAGGAUUCAGGAGGAGUUUGAACUGUUGCUUCAUCUAGUCUUAAGUUUAUUCGCCACCUUGACUGUGAAUCUCUGUUAAGGUUGCACUUGAUAUUAUCUCCAAUUAACGUUUACUUUUGACGUGUUUAGAUUCCGAAAGCAUUCUCCAAUUAACGUUUGCAAACAUACUAAGCAAGCUUGAGCGUGGACUAGACUCUUUUCCUGUAGUCUUACUUUAAUGGAAAAUGAUUAGGCCACAGCCUCGGCAUUUACUAUAUAUGGAAGGAAAUCAACAUGUUCAAUUUCAACACAGAGAGAAUUCAUGCAUAUAUAUAUAUAUAUAUAUAUAUAUAUGUUCGUGGAUAUACUCCAGCCACAUAUACCAUCCUUUAUAGCCAUUGAAAUACAGAGAGAGAAUUCAUGCAUGUUUACAUGGUAAUGCUGCUGCUCAAUGAUUAAGUGCAACUACAAGCACAGCUUGCUCAUCCACAUCUGCGAAGCUGAGUGGACACACUCAUCUUCUUGAUUAUCAUUAUUGUAGCAGCACAUUUUCUUGCUCCUGACAAAUCCCAGCAUAUGUAUGAGAUUCAUAUGACGCUCUACCGUGCCUGAUAAGUGCCACCAGUCCCAUUUUAGCGAGGACAAUUAGUUUAGAUUGACAUGCGAUAAUUUUUCGGGAAAUCAAACAAUAUUGUUAAAUACUGUUUUGGAGGCGUUAAAAGUACUUGGUAAUAGUCUUGUAUGUCAAUUGAGUUAGCAGCCAAUCAAUAAACCACGAAUGUAAUGGUCUUUGCCUGCUUCUUAUACCAUGCAACAUGGUUCGUAAUAUUGGCCGAUAUCGAUACGUAUCGGUCGAGUCGUAACCGGAACGAAACAGAUCGGUACGAUACGGAUUCCCAAAUCGCGGAUAUGGUAAUAUCUGCGACGACUUACUCUGACCCGAUCGAUAUUGGCUGAUUCGAAUCCGUGAUACAUAAUAUCGGUCGAUAUAUCCGAAUUAACCGAUAUAUCCGAAUCAAUUCGGAGUCGAUUCAGAUAUUUUUUAAAAUUGUGCCUUUUUGAUAUUUUGUAAUUUUAGUAAUUCUUUCAAAAUUUUUGAAAACUAUUAUGUGCUAUAAUAUGCAUAUCACUCGAUAUUUAAUCGAUAUGCGGCGACGAAUGUGAAACAAUCGAGACCGCGAUGUAACUGCGACCCGUGAUGGUGAACCAUGCAUGGGCUUCCAGAUAUGUCGGACAAAGGGAAAUGUGAGAAGUCAAAACCAUUGAACAAAGAUGAUGGAUACAAUAUUGGUUAUGUGCAAAAUGUAAGUGGCACUGUGGAAGAACUCUUAGUUGCUUCCUCUAAUCAGGGGCAAGUGUGUGAGUGUGACAGAAUGCUCACAUUAUGCUGCAAACAAUUGUUGCCGACAACUUUGAAGGUAGAAAGAAGGGUCUCAAAGCUAAAUGUAAGAUCUUACACCAUUUUUGAUUUAUCCCUACUAGUCCAUUAUGCGUAUUACGUGCACAGUUUGCCCAAGAGCUGACAGUGUAGUUGAUUUUAUGGUGUCCUGGUCAGUGGUGGAUGAAAAUUACUGUCACUAAUUUAAGACUCAAAACAGUCGCAAUUUUCAAUACUUUCGACCACUAAAAAAUUAUCUCCUCUCUUUCCAGAGGAAAAAGAAUAAGGGAAAGAAAGGAAAAAAGGAAUUUUUUUUUUUUAAAAAAAGAGUACUGGUUAAAGGGUGAAUUUGUAAAAAAUACUCAUAAAUUUUACGUUGACUUUUUAAUAGUCACCGUGAGUUUGAAUGAGAUAACUGGUAAUGACAUUCCAGUUUAAUCCACAUGUGAGUGAGGUUUAGUUUUUUAAACUAUAGAAACUUACGUGGUAAAGUACACGGAAGGAAGGAAGGAGAUUAAACUAAGCAAGCGGCCUGGAUCUCUUUAAACGGCCAGGUGUACCUAAAUAUCAACAACCUGUACCUGUGAUGUGAAGGAGCAUUUGACAAGUUCAGAAUUUCGGGCUUUGCAAAUUCAAUUCCAGUCAAAAGCCUAAUGCUGAUUUUGCCUCAUUAAGGUUUUAGAACCGGUCCGUUCCAACCAAGGCUGGAAAGUUGGGCUUUGGGCUACUUUGUGUUAGACUAUCAAAUUUGCCCCAUGGAUCCAUGACGAGAGUAUUCAUUGGGUCAGCCCACGGAUCUAGAUCGGCCAUUCAGUCUAUCCCACCAGUUCUCUGCCCAAGGCCUGAAACCUCACCUGUCUAUCAAGAAAAGGACACAUGGUACUGCCCUUAGCACCAACCCCUAAAGUUAGGGGGGCCACACUUUAGUCAGACAUGGACAACCGAAUAAACUGCCACCUCCGGUCUAGGAUUGCUACGGACCUUCUGUGCCACACUCUGUCCCACUUUUUAUUAUAACUACUAUUUCUCUUACAUAAAUAUCAUGUUUUAAUUUUUUUUUUGUUACCUAAAGAUCCAAUAACUAUUAAUUAAAUAAAAGAUUAAUACAACAGUUUCAAAAAAGCAAUAUAUAAUUAAAAAAUUAAAAAAAUUUUAUGAAUUUUUUGAUAUUUGGUCAGAUAUUUCAUUUUUUUUCAACAAUCGAAAUUACUGAAAAUCAUAUAACAAACCCGGAUAUUCCAUUUAUAGACCACCCUUUCGUACCAAUCGUUCAUCAACUACUGCCUGUUCUCAUUGGUACGAGGAGGAGAGGGGCGCUGCCCUGCCAUUAAUCAGCAUUAUCUCACUUUAACAGAGAGAGGCGUGAAAUUUAAAAAGCAAAAUUAGAUGCAGAAAAUUUGAAAUUAAGACCUCUAAUUUCUUGCGCCUCGAGAACGAGACCUCCUAAGCCAGCACUAACAGCAAAUUUACACCCCUUAUUAAUAUGGGGAUCUAACAUUUCAUUGGGAACACAGAUCACUUGUGGCUUCAAAUUAAACAAAUCUAAGUUAAUAUUCAAAUUUAACACAUCUAUCACCUAUUUACCGCUUAAGGCGCGCAUGAACCUAAGCAAAUCUUCUUGAGAGGUUAAUCCUGCAGUCACUACUUCCUAGCUUCUUCACAAAUUGUCUUGAUGUCUAUUUACAGAAGGGACGAUCGAUAUAAAACAGAUUUAGAAGCACGGAUGCUUCCAAUGGAGAUGCAAUUAAAUGGGCUUUUAACUAAGAUCAAUAUCGACCCGCUCAGGUUUUGCCCUUUCGGUUUGGUUGGAAACCAGCUCGAUUCCAAGCUGUCCUUUAUCACCAGCUCCAAAUGCAUACAGCUUACCAGAGUCUGUGAGGGCAAACGUGUGGGCGUUCCAAUAUAUGGAAUUGGUAAGGCUAAUCUGUACCACCCUCUCAUUCACCUGCUUCAGGGACGUCACGAUUUCUGGGCUUAGAACAUUAGUGUGCCUGUUUACCUGUAAAACAAGACAACAGUAAUGCACAUCAGCAAAUCACUUUAUAAAGAAAGAUGUCCAUGUAGGAAGGAACGAGCCCGCUCUUGAAUAUAGAGACUUCUGAGGAAUGGAUGUUUUCACUUUGCGUUUCGCAAUGGCAAACAGCUGAGCUUAACCCUUCUAAUUUUAGCACCAUCAUGUUUCAGGUGUAUUUCAGUUUCUUGUAGGCUCCUUACUCGGUUCUAACCUGACACCCUAUCUGAUUUCCUCAAGCCGCGGGCGUUGAAUAAAGUAAAUAGAAGAAAUAAAGAUGGGAAUUUCAUUCAUUUUGAUGCUGUGUGUGUAUCUGCUAACCUAUCAUGACUGGCCUCUAUCCUGUGAAAGUUGAUAUUAUGGCUACUAACAAAUGAACCAGAUCAGGGUGACAAGGACUAUCUCGAAAGAAUAUCAAAUUGAAAAUUCAUAAACAUCUGUAGAAAGUGAAAAUGAAUAUAAUAGCAAACAGAUCUUGCAAGGUACACAUAUAACAUUCUAUACUAAACAGAACUAAACAAUUCAGCUGGAUUCUGAAGAUAAAGAAGACAACUUGACCAAGAUAAAAUAGACAGGAAAAGAGAAGAUCAAACCUGUCCGUCAACAGCACCAGUAUUAUGUCCCAAACUAGAUGAUUCCCCACAGCCAAAAGAAUAUACAUCACCCGCAUCAGAAACUACAAAAGUUGUAUAGUCCCCUGUAGCAACAUUAACCGCUUUGACAUUGCUUAGUGCUUCAACCACCUUAGGAAUCGAUUCACAAUCUUCGUUCCCAUGACCUAAGCAACCAUAACGUCCCCAACCCCACGUGCAAACUCUCCCAUCUUUCCCAACAACUGCAGCAUGCCAUGCUCCUGCUGCCACGACUACUGGUUGAAGAUUCAAAUUCUGAAACUGUUCAAUCAACCUUGGAUACUUUUCAUCAGUUCUUGUACCGUGUCCAAGCUUUCCGCCCAAUCCACAACCAACAGAGUAUACUGACCUGAUGAGUCACCAAAAAGAGCAACAUAUAAGAAUCAUUUACCUAUAAAAAAUUUGUUGCCAAGUAAUAUUGGAGCGCGAUGGAACUAUGAGCGGCAAACCAUGGUAAUCUAGACAGAGACUCUGAAAUCAUUUUGAAGUAAUGCAGGUGAUUAGGAGAGACAACUUGACUAGAAAAAUAGAGAUUAGAAGCUGAGAUAAUAUUGAAGAUGAGAUUUUGUGGUUAAUACAGAACUCAAGAUAGUUUGUAGUUCAUGCAAUUGAAUUCUGUUGCUUGAACAAUACCUCACCAAAGCAACAAAUAAAGAUGCAACAGAACCACAGGCAAUAUCCUACCAAUAACUGUCAUUCUGCAUAUCAUAAUUAUUUUCAAGUAACAAUGGGUUUGUUUGGAUAGAGUGUUAUUUGAAAUAACAUUGUAACACUAUUUGUGAUGUGAUGUAUGUCAGAUAAAAAGGUGAUUAAGAAUAUAAAAAAGUGGGUUGGAAAAUGUAUUUAUGAUGCAAGCAAAAUAUUAUUUGGAAAAAUUUGCUAACCAACCAAAUGAGAAAGAAUAUUUUUCUUGAAAGUUCAACCAAAACCCAUCCAUGAAGAUACAAGUUUAAUCUCACUACUCUAAUAAAUUAAAGGGACUCACAUGCCAGUAGGCUGGCAAGCCAAAGCAAGAAGGUAGCAGUAUCCAGCUGCAAUUUGCACAACAGGAAUGUUCUCAAGUGCCCCUAGUAAUGGGCGAGGUUCUAGGUCAUUUGGCUCUGUUUGGUGACCAAGUUUUGUUUCAUUCCCCCAAGAAAAAGUAUAAACUCUUCCUUCUCUAGACAACACAGCUGUGAAGAAAUUUCCAAUUGCAGCCUGCACAACAAAGACGUCUUUCAAUGAUUCCACAAGUUGCGGAGUAGUUACAAGUCUACUUCCUUGAGCCCCAUAUUCAGCAUCUCCAAAGGAAUCCUUUCCAAAGGCAUACACCCGACCAGCAUCACUAAUCAACAUUGUCCGGCCAGCCCCAGCAGCUGCUUGAAUAAUUCGAACUCCUUCCAAGGAUCUGCAACAUAAUUAAAGUUUCACCGAAACUUUACACUAAAAAAUUCUGCAUCUAGACUCCAGCUUUUAAAGCAGCAUAUGACAAAAUCAACAUAUAAUAACAACCUAAUUGGGCGAGGCCGCCAGUCUUCCUCAGUGGUGCCCUGUCCAAGCUGUCCAGAGCUAUUAGAACCAAAUGAGUAGACAACUCCUUUUGAUGUUACAGCAAUGCUGUGACCAGGACCUGCUAUGGCCUGUGACUUCUCCCUCCUGGAACAGACUUCACCAGCAAGCAGAUAUCUGAGGACCAGUUUCCAGGAGCCCCCACAUCUUUGCUUCAAGUCUUGACGUUCUUCAUCUGUCAUUGGCUUAAAUAUGGCUCUCUUUUGGCACAUAUCAAGCGCUGCAAGCUCUGCCAUAGAGAGCUCAUAAUCAGGGGCAAAAUGUGCAGGCUGCCUGAAGAAAGAACAGGUUGCCUGCAAAACCAGCCCAAAAAUUCACAAUACAAUCAGCAGCAUCAUCAAUUCAACAAAGAUAAUUACCAUUGGAAUCCAAAUAAAAAAGAUACACUUGCCUCUAGCUUUGCAAGAUCUUGGGGAUCCAAAUUGCAUCCAGUAAGGACAUGAAGAACAAUCGAGGGAUUUGCAGACAAUGGGAAUUCUCCAGGACUGACGUUGCCAU
rnacentral:lncRNA from 1 species